AUUGAACGCUGGCGGCAUGCCUUACACAUGCAAGUCGAACGGUAACAGCACUUCGGUGGCUGACGAGUGGCGAACGGGUGAGUAAUACAUCGGAACGUGCCCGAGAGUGGGGGAUAACGCAGCGAAAGCUGUGCUAAUACCGCAUACGAUCUACGGAUGAAAGCAGGGGGACCGCAAGGCCUUGCGCUCAUGGAGCGGCCGAUGGCAGAUUAGGUAGUUGGUGGGAUAAAAGCUUACCAAGCCGACGAUCUGUAGCUGGGUCUGAGAGGACGACCCAGCCACACUGGGACUGAGACACGGCCCAGACUCCUACGGGAGGCAGCAGUGGGGAAUUUUGGACAAUGGGCGAAAGCCUGAUCCAGCCAUGCCGCGUGCAGGAUGAAGGCCUUCGGGUUGUAAACUGCUUUUGUACGGAAACGAAAAGGUCUUUUCUAAUAAAGAAGACUCAUGACGGUACCGUAAGAAUAAGCACCGGCUAACUACGUG
rnacentral:rRNA from 1 species